UCUGUCCUGCUGCAUGAUCUUGGAUAGAAGGAGAAAACUAUCCUGGAAAGUAGAAUGGAAAGUUUGGCCUAAAACACUAUUUUCUAAGAGGAAUCUGGCCUAUUUUCUGAAUACGUUUGGAAAAGUCAAGCAAGAUGCCCAUAUCUGCUGUCCUUGAGUUAUAUCUGAGGCCUAUUUUUCACAAAAGGUAGUUCAAGUCAGUGGUGGCUCAAGAUCUCAGCAUCCUAAGGCAGGGCACAAAAUGCCACUCUCUCCUCUCAAGUACAGGUAUCCACCUCUGCUUCAUGGCAGCUACAGACACCAUUUGGUGCCUAACUGGAUUACUUUCCCUCACCUUCUUCAUGAACUGCUGGGCUGCAUAUGGGCAGAAUCCCUUCAGACUGCAUGUGUGGGCUCACGGGACUGAUUAUUCCUCCAUUCAGAAAAAAAACACCUCAUAGAAACCUAGCAUGUGAGGAAGAAGGCUAGAUUCUGAAUCCUUUCCCUUGAUAUCUAGUUUUCUUCAUGCAUAUAUUCAUGUAUUUUCCUACAAUUUAGGACCACCACCACCCCGCCCUGCCCCCCAACUCAUCUGAUGUUUUCUCUUAGGCAGCAGUUAACAGUAGUUUAGCUGUGAAGUUUCAAAGACAUCAGUGACAGUUGGUAGUUUCUAAUUCUGGAAGUAUAUUAACUGCAUCAGAGAUUCAGGCAUGUCUGCUUAGCACACACUUCAGAUCCCAGGUCAAUUGAUUUAUUGUGUGAGAACAUUAACUUGAAAGCUUCAGGUUGUUGUCAUCAGAAGUACCUAUUUCUUUAGGUGAAGCCAGAAAGUGUUUCAAAAAAGGAACGAAAUCACCUAAGUGAACACUGCUCAUUUUAAGAGUUCCUUGAAUAAAGUUGAAUCUAGUUGGAAACAUGUGCAUUAAUCUAGCACUUUAUGUCUAUGAAAUAUUGUACAUCCCGCUGUGUGUGGGCUAAAAGAUAAAAAUCAGAUGAAUGGGAAAGAAAAGCUAUUUUGUUCCCGAGGAAAGAUUCAGAAUGGUUGUAUGGAAUCUAUUCAAAGAAAAGCUUGAAGCCAAUGAAAGCUAAUUAAAUAUCCUUAUUGUUUCUUAGGAGUUUAGUGAUUACAGAUAAAUACAUAAGGGGAAGAACCACUGUGCAGGCAGAGGCAACCACAGAGGAAGUGGGCACAGCUCCCACAGAUUAUUUCUUUAAUAAGAUUACCUGCUCUGUUUAUGAUGUAAGCAUGGCAGAUUAUUAACCAGUAAUAUACUAGUUGAUUUCAUUGGUACUUAAAAAAAAACACAACCCACCCACCCCUAGGAACAGAACAAUGACAAUGAGUUAACAAUAACCUGUUGAAAAGUAUGGUGCCUGAUAAGAUGAUUACUCUUUCUCUGUAUAUCAAGACACCACAUGCUUCAUGUGGCACAUCAGAUAAAUGUGUAUUUCCCCCUCUUAAGAAAAUGAGAGUCUGUAAAGGGAUAUUAGAGAAAUUGUGGGAAUGAGACAUGUAAGAAAUUUGAUUUCCAUUAAAGUGCGAGCCAAAGAUGUCCUAGAUUAUCAUUAUAAGAUUUCCUUGACAUAACAAUUUGAACAUGUUGAGAAAAGAAACGAGAGCUCCACCAAUUACCAGCAAUAUGUAAUAAUAUGUGAUGUAAUAAUAUGUGAGUAGUGUGAAUGGUUUUUGUGAACAUGAGAUGUUUUUGAAGCAAAGGAUUUUAUAGUUGGUCACUGUGAUCUCUUUUAAAAAUCAAAAGUCCAUUUCGAAUUUCUCCCCUGCCCCAUUAAAUAAAGUUUUGUCCCUUG